CCUACGGGAGGCAGCAGUGGGGAAUAUUGCGCAAUGGGCGAAAGCCUGACGCAGCGACACCGCGUGAGGGAUGAAGGUCUUCGGAUCGUACACCUCUGUCAGCAGGGAAGAACGGUCACUGUGCUAAUCAGCAGUGAAUUGACGGUACCUGCAAAGGACGCACCGGCUAACUACGAGCCAGCAGCCGCGGUAAUACGGAGGGUGCGAGCGUUAAUCGGAAUUACUGGGAGUAAAGCGCUCGUAGGGGGUAUGUCAUGUCAAGGGUGAAAUACCCGCGCUCAACGUGGGAACUGCCUUUGAAACUGGCAAACUGGAGUGUGUGAGAGGAUAGUGGAAUUCCAGGUGUAGGAGUGAAAUCCGUAGAUAUCUGGAGGAACAUCAGUGGCGAAGGCGACUAUCUGGCACAUAACUGACGCUGAGGAGCGAAAGCGUGGGUAGCAAACAGGAUUAGAUACCCUAGUAGUC
rnacentral:rRNA from 1 species